UCUCUUUCUUCUUCCUGCUUCUUCUAUCAGUAGCAGUAGUAAUAGAGGCUGUGACUUUCUGUGGUUCACAGUGUUCUGUGUGAACAUUGUUUCCUUGUAUCAUAUAUGAUAAACAUCACUGAUUCUGUUUUUCUGAAUGAAGAAUUUGAAAGGAGAGUAGGUCAUAAUUUGUUUACAAUCUUGGAGCUGGUAAGGGUUGGAAUUGGAAUCAAACUUUGGAAUAUUCUGGAACUUUCCAAACGUUGGUGUUCUGCUUCAGAGUUCAGUCAUGAACUCCAGCAUCUGAGGCUUGGUUAGCAGUUACUCUUGCUUGAAUGUGGUUGUGACUCUUAAUAGUUUAUGGUUUGGAAGCUUGGUCUAUGGUAUAGUGAUGCUGAGGUUAGAGGAGGUUUAGGAGAGGAAACGUAAAGUAAGAUAAUUAGGUCAUUGAAGUUAUUUCUCCUGAAAGGAAUGUUUAUUCUUUGGGAGGAAUACUGCUUACUUAAUUAAAGUGUUGUUACAAAAGAGAAUGACUGAUGCCUGCACUGCUUUGAUUUCUUGUCUUACCAGGUGUUUCUGUCAUUGUGACUCAUCUUCUGUGGGCUCCUUAUGAGAACUGAGAGUAGACUGCCUGCUUGAUGCUCCUGGAUUUUCAAAAGACCGGAGAUGAGAAUAUUGAUUGUUCACUGCCAUGUUUAUUCUGUCUGAAUCUGAGAAGUGCCACAGUUUAAAGUUCCCAUAAGUGAAUAUUUAUUGAAUAAAACCCACUGGAUGA